rnacentral:lncRNA from 1 species
AAAUAAUGCUGUAAAAAAUUAAAAAUAACAAAAAAAAAAUUAUAUCCUGGCAUUAGUUUUCCUUCCUGUUAUUUUCCUAAAUGUUUCUCCCCUCUCCUUUAUAGGUGUACACAAUGAACCUUUAAAAAUGUGGAGCUGCCUUCAAAAUUGCUGUCGUCAUCCAGAUCAAUUUGGAACAAACUUUCAGCAAGACUUUUAUUAAAGAGACAGAGAGGAGAGAAAAAAAAUGCAGACAAGGAGAUCACAAAUGCAUCAGAUGGCAACGAGAAAGGGAUUCUGUUUCACCUUGACUCCUUGUUUCCACUAACAACCUCUCCUUUAUCUACAACACUCCAAUAUUGCAGAACCUGAGGAUAUGAAAUCACUUCCUCCCUUCCCCUCAAAGAGAUCAAACAGUGGAAACUGGGACUUAUGGAUACUCCAAACAUUUGCAAAUGAACACGUGUGAAGAAAGAAGGAGCACCAUUUAACAGUCUUUUUAGACUGCUCUUUAUCAGGGUGCUCCUAUCUAAAGGGAUGUAAGACUCUGAACUGUCCUAGCCAGCAUGGGUAUAUGAAAACAGGUGCCUCUUGACCUAUCACCUCCUUCUAUGACAAGGUGACCUGUUUAGUGGAUGAGGGGGAGACUGUGGAUGAUGCCUACCUAGAUUGUUGUAGUCUUUGACACUGUCUCCCACAUAAUUCUUGAGCAGAAAUUAGCUGCUCAUGAAUCGGAUAGAUGUGGUCUUCCCUGGGUGAAAAACUAACUGGAUGUCUCAGCCCUGAGAGUGGUGGCAAAUGGAGAUCAAUACAGUUGGUGACCGGUGUCUAAGGGUGCUCCCAAAGGCUCCCAAAGUAUUGGAGCCAGUCCUGUAUAAUAUCUUUUACUGAUAAUAUGGAUGCAGGGAUCAAGGGCACUCUCAGUAAAUUUGCA